CUAAGGCGAGGCCGACAGGCGUAGUCGAUGGAUAACGGGUUGAUAUUCCCGUACCGGUGAAAAACCGCCCAUACUGAUAUUGUGAUGCUAACCAUGCGAAGCAUGAUGUGCAGGCUUUUGUUUGUGUGUUGUGUGGGUUGUGGGACCCGAUCUUUGGAGGUAAACGUGUUAACAGGUGUGACGCAGGAAGGUAGCCAAGCCACGCGAUGGUUGUCGUGGUCUAAGCGUGUAGGGUUGUCGGUUGUUAAAUGCGCCGGCUGUGUGCCUGAGACGUGAUGGGACCCCGUUUUUGGGGGAUUUGGUGAUCCUAUGCUGCCGAGAAAAGCAUCGGCGUGAGGUUUUAGCCGCCCGUACCCUAAACCGACACAGGUGAUCAGGUAGAGAAUACUAAGGCGAUCGAGAGAAUCAUGGUUAAGGAACUCGGCAAAAUGCCCCCGUAACUUCGGGAGAAGGGGGGCCCUGAGCGUGAUCUGCCCGUGCGGUGGGGAGCGUGUAGGGGUCGCAGAGACCAGGGGGAAGCGACUGUUUAUCAAAAACACAGGUCCGUGCGAAGUCGUAAGACGAGGUAUACGGACUGACUCCUGCCCGGUGCUGGAAGGUUAAGAGGAGUGGUUAGCCCUGUGUGGGCGAAGCUGCGAAUUUAAGCCCCAGUAAACGGCGGUGGUAACUAUAACCAUCCUAAGGUAGCGAAAUUCCUUGUCGGGUAAGUUCCGACCUGCACGAAUGGAGUAACGACUUCCCUACUGUCUCAACCAUGAACUCGGCGAAAUUGCAGUACGAGUAAAGAUGCUCGUUUCGCGCAGCAGGACGGAAAGACCCCGUGACCUUUACUAUAGUUUGGUAUUGGUGUUUGGGUUGGCUUGUGUAGGAUAGGUGGGAGACUGUGAAGCCGUCACGCUAGUGGUGGUGGAGUCGUUGUUGAAAUACCACUCUGGUCAAUCUGGAUGUCUAACUUCGGGCCAUGAUCUGGUUCAGGGACAGUGCCUGAUGGGUAGUUUAACUGGGGCGGUUGCCUCCUAAAGUGUAACGGAGGCGCCCAAAGGUUCCCUCAGCCUGGUUGGCAAUCAGGUGUUGAGUGUAAGUGCACAAGGGAGCUUGACUGUGAGACUGGCAGGUCGAGCAGGGACGAAAGUCGGGACUAGUGAUCCGGCGGUACGUUGUGGAACGGCCGUCGCUCAACGGAUAAAAGGUACCUCGGGGAUAACAGGCUGAUCUUGCCCAAGAGUCCAUAUCGACGGCAUGGUUUGGCACCUCGAUGUCGGCUCGUCGCAUCCUGGGGCUGGAGUCGGUCCCAAGGGUUGGGCUGUUCGCCCAUUAAAGCGGUACGCGAGCUGGGUUCAGAACGUCGUGAGACAGUUCGGUCCCUAUCCGCUGCGCGCGUUGGAAAUUUGAGAAAGGCUGUCCUUAGUACGAGAGGACCGGGACGGACGAACCUCUGGUAUGUCAGUUGUACCGCCAGGUGCAUGGCUGAUUGGCUACGUUCGGGAGGGAUAACCGCUGAAAGCAUCUAAGCGGGAAGCCUGUUUCGAGAUGAGAUUUCCUGGCACUUUUGGUGUGUGAGGCUCCUUAUAGAUGAUGAGGUUGAUAGGCCGGGUAUGGAAGCGGGGACUGAAGACUCGUGGAGUUGACUGGUACUAAUAGGCCGAAGGCUUACUU
rnacentral:rRNA from 1 species